rnacentral:precursor_RNA from 12 species
AAAGGAAGACUCCCAAGGUGAUGGCAGGGCAAGCCCUUCUGUUAGUAGUUGAGUUAUCUUACUCAGCUACGAAUGAAGGGCGUGCUUCUUCAUCUCAACGUACAGCAUCCUUCAA